GCAGUAGCCGCGGUAAUACGAAGGGUGCAAGCGUUAAUCGGAAUUACUGGGCGUAAAGCGUGCGUAGGCGGUUUGCUAAGUCUGCUGUGAAAUCCCCGGGCUCAACCUGGGAAUGGCAGUGGAUACUGGCAAGCUAGGGUGUGUCAGAGGAUGGUGGAAUUCCCGGUGUAGCGGUGAAAUGCGUAGAGAUCGGGAGGAACAUCAGUGGCGAAGGCGGCCAUCUGGGACAACACUGACGCUGAGGCACGAAAGCGUGGGGAGCAAACAGGAUUAGAUACCCCUGUAGUCCCUGUCUCUUAUAC
rnacentral:rRNA from 1 species